AUGGAGGCCAGCAGACUCUCCAAUAUGUGUGUUUCACGCUUGCAGCACAUCGCAUUGUAGAGCCAGCCGCAUUUCAGGAGUUGGGAACAUAUAAUGAAGAACUGAAGGUGUGCAGGGAGCAGCUUCUUGCCAGAGAAGAAGAAGUUGCUCAGCUGAGAGCAGAGAGGAACAACACCAGGCUGCUGCUGGAACACCUGGAGCUCCUCGUUUCCCGGUAUGUACCAUCCCUCCGGAUGACGGC